UGUCCAUUGAGGAAUAUCUUAGCUGUUACCUCUGUCUGUGGGAAAAGGGCAAUAUUGAAGACCACGGUUGGUGUCAUCAGUCUGCUGAUGAAGAUCUUGGCUGUUAGGAAUGAUCGUUCCCUGCAGAUGUAAUCAUCUUUCAUGGUCAGAAGCUCUCUAGUGACCUCCAUGUGUUAGCAGCAUGGAGACUCAUAACGGAAGCACUGGGCCUGAACUGCAGAUUCUCCCGUGGUCUCAAGAUGUCUGGUGUCUGUCUGUUUGGUGCCUA